rnacentral:rRNA from 1 species
ACUCCUACGGGAGGCAGCAGUGGGGAAUAUUGCACAAUGGGGGAAACCCUGAUGCAGCCAUGCCGCGUGUGUGAAGAAGGCCUUCGGUUGUAAAGCACUUUCAGUAGGGAGGAAGGUAGUGUAGUUAACACCUGCACUAUUUGACGUUACCUACAGAAGAAGCACCGGCUAACUCCGUGCCAGCAGCCGCGGUAAUACGGAGGGUGCGAGCGUUAAUCGGAAUUACUGGGCGUAAAGCGCAUGCAGGCGGCCUGUUAAGUCAGAUGUGAAAGCCCGGGGCUUAACCUCGGAAUUGCAUUUGAAACUGGCAGGCUAGAGUCUUGUAGAGGGGGGUAGAAUUUCAGGUGUAGCGGUGAAAUGCGUAGAGAUCUGAAGGAAUACCAGUGGCGAAGGCGGCCCCCUGGACAAAGACUGACGCUCAGAUGCGAAAGCGU